rnacentral:rRNA from 1 species
AUGUUGAUGUCAUUUAUUGGUCAACAUUUAGUGGCAUACACAAAACAGAUGGUGGAAACUUUCAUGGCUUGCUGUUACUUUUCCCAUUACGCAGAUGAAUUAAGGGGACUUGAAUGGAGUACACGAUAUGGAAUAAUUAGAGGCAUCUGUGAAGGUCUGUAUCAUCUGCACAAGGAAAAGCAAAUAUAUCAUAUGGAUAUAAAACCCGACAAUAUACUCCUAGAUAAUGAUAUGGCGCAGAAAAUCACGGAUUUUGGCUUAUCAAGACUUGAUGAAAAGACCAAAACCAUGAGUAAAUACCGUCCUGGAUCAUUACGAUAUUGUGCUCCAGAAUACCUACAUCAGGGGAAGAUGUCAUUCAAAUCAGACAUGUACAGUUUGGGUGUUAUAAUUACCGAACUAGUGACAGGAGAAAAGAUGAUCCCGAAUAAUAAUAACAACAAUAGCAGGGCGGAUCGGGCGACGCCCUGCAUCCCUAGCUACUUGAAGCUCAUCCCAGGCAAAGUUGGUGUCUUUGUCCUACAUUAG